rnacentral:rRNA from 1 species
GACGAACCGUGCGAACGUUGUUCGGAAUCACUGGGCUUAAAGGGCGCGUAGGCGGCUUCGCAAGUCGGGGGUGAAAUCUUUCGGCUCAACCGGAAAAGUGCCUUCGAUACUGCGGAGCUCGAGGGAGGUAGGGGCAGACGGAACUUCCGGUGGAGCGGUGAAAUGCGUUGAUAUCGGAAGGAACGCCGGUGGCGAAAGCGGUCUGCUGGCCCUCUUCUGACGCUGAGGCGCGAAAGCCAGGGGAGCAAACGGG